GGCCUUGCGCUCUUUGAGCGGCCGAUGUCAGAUUAGCUAGUUGGUGAGGUAACGGCUUACCAAGGCGACGAUCUGUAGCGGGUCUGAGAGGAUGAUCCGCCACACUGGAACUGAGACACGGUCCAGACUCCUACGGGAGGCAGCAGUGGGGAAUUUUGGACAAUGGGGGCAACCCCGAUCCAGCCAUGCCGCGUGAGUGAAGAAGGCCUUCGGGUUGUAAAGCUCUUUCGGCCGGGAAGAAAUCGCAUGGGCCAAUACCCUGUGUGGAUGACGGUACCGGAAUAAGAAGCACCGGCUAACUACGUGCCAGCAGCCGCGGUAAUACGUAGGGUGCGAGCGUUAAUCGGAAUUACUGGGCGUAAAGCGUGCGCAGGCGGUUUUGUAAGACAGGCGUGAAAUCCCCGGGCUCAACCUGGGAACUGCGUUUGUGACUGCAAGGCUAGAGUACGGCAGAGGGGGGUGGAAUUCCACGUGUAGCAGUGAAAUGCGUAGAGAUGUGGAGGAACACCAAUGGCGAAGGCAGCCCCCUGGGUCGAUACUGACGCUCAUGCACGAAAGCGUGGGUAGCAAACAGGAUUAGAUACCCUGGUAGUCCACGCCCUAAACUAUGUCAACUAGGUGUUGGGUGGGUAAAACCAUUUAGUACCGUAGCUAACGCGUGAAGUUGACCGCCUGGGGAGUACGGCCGCAAGGUUAAAACUCAAAGGAAUUGACGGGGACCCGCACAAGCGGUGGAUGAUGUGGAUUAAUUCGAUGCAACGCGAAAAACCUUACCUACCCUUGACAUGCCAGGAACUUGCCAGAGAUGGCUUGGUGCCCGAAAGGGAGCCUGGACACAGGUGCUGCAUGGCUGUCGUCAGCUCGUGUCGUGAGAUGUUGGGUUAAGUCCCGCAACGAGCGCAACCCUUGUCGUUAAUUGCCAUCAUUUAGUUGGGCACUUUAGCGAGACUGCCGGUGACAAACCGGAGGAAGGUGGGGAUGACGUCAAGUCCUCAUGGCCCUUAUGGGUAGGGCUUCACACGUCAUACAAUGGUCGUACAAAGGGUCGCCAAGCCGCGAGGUGGAGCCAAUCCCAGAAAGCCGAUCGUAGUCCGGAUUGCAGGCUGCAACUCGCCUGCAUGAAGUCGGAAUCGCUAGUAAUCGUGGAUCAGCAUGUCACGGUGAAUACGUUCCCGGGUCUUGUACACACCGCCCGUCACACCAUGGGAGCGGGUUCCGCCAGAAGUAGGUAGCCUAACCGUAAGGAGGGCGCUUACCACGGCGGGGUUCGUGACUGGGGUGAAGUCGUAACAAGGUA
rnacentral:rRNA from 1 species